rnacentral:rRNA from 1 species
CCUACGGGUGGCAGCAGUAGGGAAUCUUCCACAAUGGGCGAAAGCCUGAUGCAGCAACGCCGCGUGGGUGAAGAAGGUCUUCGGAUCGUAAAACUCUGUUGUUAGAGAAGAAAGUGCGUGAGAGUAACUGUUCACGCUUCGACGGUAUCUAACCAGAACGCCACGGUUAACUACAGGCCAGCAGCCCCGGGAGUACGUAGGUGGCAAGCGUUGUCCGGAUUUAUUGGGCGUAAAGGGAAGGCAGGCGGUGUUUUAAGUCUGAUGUGAAAGUCUUCGGCUUAACCAGAGUAGUGCAGUUGAAACUGGAAGAAAUGAGUGCAGGAGAGGAGGGUGGAACGCGAUGUGUAGCGGUGAAAUGCGUAGAUAUA